GCCUUCCCCGUAUAUAAAGCCCCCACCUCAGAAGCGCCAAAUUCAAAAUUUCCUUUCCUCAGAAACAUCCGUUAAACCACCACCUCCUCCUCUCCAAAACCUGAGAACAAAGAUGCGAACUCGCUUCCUCAACAUCGACUACUUCAGCGUCGAACCUCCUCCGUCUUCUCCGACCCAAACCCUAACCUUCUUGAACCUUCCAGUUCCUCUCCUUCCUUCGACUCUCCCUCUCGCCUCUGAGCGGGACCUUCCCGGCUUCGACUCUCUCUCAGCGAUCGACGUCUCCCUGCAACUCGACAGGCUUGAUAUCGAAUCCGCUCUGUCGAAGUUCCUAAGUGACGUUAUUCCUCAGUUCAUCGACGUCGGAGGAGGCGAGGGUUGUGGAAAUGGUAGCGUUGAGAAAGAAGGAGAGCUAAGCCCCGGAGUGAAGGAAAGUUUGGACUGCUGUUCAACUCUUAAGACUGCAGCUACGGAAGAUCAACUUCCAAAAAUUAACCGUGAAAACUUCAUCAACGGAAAGGGCACACAAGGCAUUGCAGUGUUCCAGCUUGAGACACCAGAGCUGGUUAAUUGCUUGGAGAAUUCUUACUUACUUGAGGAAGAGGCAGUAGGCAUCUUCUCUGAAGUUCUUGAAAUUGAAAACAGUGAGGAUGCACCCAAGCUGGGCUUUUUAGCGAACUAUACUUUGGAGGCUCAAGAAGCAGUUACUAGUUUUGGAGACACAAGCAUACAAUAUCUCAUAGAGCCAAAGGCUGUCUUUUGGGAAGGUGAUGCUAAUGUUGCGAGCCCAUCGGACUUCCCAUGUACCAAAUUUCCUCUUUUAGAAGAGGAGGAGAUUAGUUUGGAAGUUAUGACAAGCACCACUAUGAAAUAUGAGCUUGUAAAGCUUCUUGACAAAGUUGAACCAGUAAAUCUAAGUCAAAAUGAUGAUUUUUCAUUUGACACCAAAGAAAUAUUGAACUUGCUCGAGAAGGACCUUUCUGAAUUUCCGUCACACCGUUGUCUGUUUAAGGAGUGCCUUGAAUGGGAUUCAGUAAUAGGGGCCAGUUUUCUGGAAAUGGAUUUUGUGAGCAUUGUGGACAGACCUUAUCUACGAGGCAGCUCACCUUGUCAAGGACCAUCAGACAGAAGUUAUUUUUCGUCAAUUAGCCCAGUUGUCCUUGAGGACUUUCAGAUACUUGACAUGGGGACAGCUCUAUUUUGUGAGGUCUUCAGCUUACAAGAAGUCCAUGAACCUGACUUCUGCAAUGAAAUGCUGCAGGAAAAGGUGAAGUUCAAGAACUUUGAGGAAUUGGUAAUCAGUCGGGAACUGGCUCUUGCAGAUGAGAUGUUCAAAUCACUGCCCGUGCCAGUUCUUCCUGACUCUGUAUUAGGAACAUUGUAUGCAAUUGUUGCAGCAGCUCUGAUUGAUAUGAAGCCACAGCCUCCAUUGGCAUCCGAUGGGAUCUAUUUAAAUUGGCAUCUAUUGGAGGAGGAAAGCUGCAGCUCUGCGAUCUAUUCCUUUUAUCACAACAUGCUAGCGGAGCUGAACAGGAGUUUUGACUUCGAUUUAAAUACCAGCAAUUAUGGGAAAGUCAUUCUUGACUUCAUCCUUCUCGAUCACACUCCUAGCAGGCCUAAAUUCGAAGAAGGCAGUGGGCCGUUGGACAUGCUUUCUGACGGGGUCUCUUUGCUGAGGGAGGGUCUGACUGAGGCUGCUUCCAGGACGUCUACUGCUACUGAAUACCAAAAGCCAGCAAGUCAAACACUGGUUUCUGAGUAUGAUUCUAAGAGGGCUUCAUCAUUUUUCAAAUCUAUGUCACCAUUUCAUGACCUGGAGUUCUUCCUGAAUCCUUCGAAAGAUAGAGCCGAAGAAAAUAGUGUACCUCCAGGAAAGAUUCCUGGGGAAAUGAACAAUACACAUGCAGUCAAGAUUCCUGGUGAUCUUGCUUGCAAGGUUUCAACUAGUAGCCCAGGGGAAGGAAAUGCAUCUUGUGAGCCACCUGUUGCAGGAUCGGGCCAUAUCGAGCUAGGGCUUGUUUCUUUUCCUGAAUCGGUCAUUAUUGUGAACACACAAAAUUCAAGUGAAGUAAUGUUGGUGUCCAGAAGAAGUACAUAUCAAAAGAUUUUGGCUAUGGAGAAAGAAGGAAUUCAAGUAAUUGAGCGUGAUACAACCCUGCCUGUUGAUAUUAUAAUCAGUGCUGCAGUUUGCCUGGUGUGGUAUACUCGCAAUAACAUUGGGAGAAAAUCAUCUGGUUUCAAUGAAGCAUCUUCAGUGUUACCAUGUUAUAUUGAGAAUAUCGCAGCAAAUAUUCUUACGAACUUGAGCUUCGCUUUUGGGGCCUGCAUUCUGAUAUUUGAGGGAGAAUCCGGCUUCCUUGCUUCAGUAAUGGAAUCAUCGGAUGGACUUUAUGCUGCGGCAGCUAGUCUGGGAAUUGGUUUACAACUCUUUUGCUCCUUUUCACCUGAGUUGACUGAUGAGAUCAUAUUGAAAUCCAUUGCUCAGGAAACUAGGAUUAUUAGGGGUCUUUAUACUAAACUUCCUGAAUCAGAGACACUUGCAGAAUCUUUCCUGACUAAUUUUCCUUCUGUUAAUCCAUUGUCAGCUCAUGCAAUACUGUCUACUGAAGGAAGGCUCAGCGAUUUUUUUGAGUCAUCUCAUGAAUGCAGAAUCUCCGUGGUCAAAAAAUAUCAAGUUCCUGAUGAAAGCGUUUCUCUAUUUAGCGCUUUAUGCCAGUUUGGGGAACGUGAGGAUUCUCGGUCUAUAAUGACAGACUGCUCUUCUUCAGUGUCGUCAGGCCCUGACUCUAAACACUGCCAUAGUAAGCUGGAUUCUGGAGGGAAAACAUGUGAGUACAAGAAACACCCUGACAAAGGUGAUGUACCUGUGGAAGACCUGCUGCAUUUUCAGCCUUCAGAACUAUGUAACAACAGUUCCUCAAAACUUCCUGGGUUUAUGAAUCUAUAUGAUUUGUCCACAUUCAAAGAUCAGGAGAUACCCAACAAGUUCAAAGAGUCCAAGUUUAAAGAGUCCAAUUCAUGUCUUGAUCAUUUCGUGGGUAAAAAAAAAGGGAUGGAUGAGUCAAUUACCACGUGUCCUUCCAGAGUUGGCAAUCAAUUCGAUUCUUGGAUCACGAAAGGUGUGUUCUCCUCUGAUGUGACUGAACACCAAACCCUGGCGUCGGAUGAUGAUUUCCUUCAUUGGUACGCAGGAGCACACACAACGGACACUUUUGAUUGGGCAGAUACCAAGAACUCUGAUAUUGUUCAUAAGGAAACUAAAGGUGAAUCUAUGAACCUCACCAAUCCAUCAAUUGCCAAUCCUUUGGAAUUUUCAUUUUCAUUGCCAGGUCUGGAAAACGAUGCCAAAGGUGGAUCCAAUCAUGCAAGUAGAUUUUCCUUCGAUCGACACAAUUAUCCGACUAUCCCAACAGUUGCUGAGAGCGAUUCUACUUCACUCAUUCAUAGUCCUGGGAAUCCUCAAAAACAAAGUUUACAGGAAGAAACUGAUUGCUUUUUAUCUACGGAGCUAGUAAAUGACAAAAUGCCUACCGACGAUUGGGAGAAACUCUGUAAGGGGUUUUCGCAUAGGAGAUCCAUGGAGAACUUACAAGGUAUGCCAGUACAGGCAAACAGGGGAAGGUAUAACGGAACACCACUUAGAAAUGCCAUUCACAUGCCCCACUUGCAAAAAGGUUCACCCUGGACAAUUGAAUUUCUGAACAGAAUCCGGGAAAAGAGCAAGUUGUGGCAGCAACCCCUUCCAUCCAGUGCAUCUCCUUGUUUUAGCAAUACACGGACUAAAUCAAAUACGACAAAGAGAAGAAGUCCAUCGAUUCUUGAAUUUUUUAAGUAUCAAGGAGGUAGCACUGUUAGAAAAACACCUGAAGAGAAGAGGCAGAAGAGAUCCGCACAAUCAUUUGGUUCAUUCAGGAAUGGAAAAGUGUCAGCUUCUCUCGUCCCUUCAUGGACUCCUGUCGAUAAAAGAGCACGGCGGAAACUUUCCUUUGUGACGAAUGAAUCUGAGAGCCAGACUAAGCUGGUUUGGGGUGAUAAAGCCAGAGAAAUUCACAACCACUGAACAAUGAGCUUCUUGAGCUGAUUAUAGGAUAGAGAAUUAGAAUGGGUAAUCUCUCUCUCAACAAGAUAGCCUCACUUUUUGCAAAGACGGCAAGGUAACUGGAUUCCUCGGAUCAUAUCUGAUUAUUACAUAACUUUUCACAGAACUGAAGAACCAAGAAGAAUUUAUGGGAUUUCCCAGGGGAUUUUCAUCAAGAAAUUAUGCAGUUAUAGGUUGCAUUUUGUUUGGCAAUUAACCAAAUUUGCGAGCGCUAGACGUGCCCCUGCACCUGUGCAACAUAUUCUCCUCCCUCAUGCAUGUUUGUGCCUGUAUUUUGGCAUCGGAAGAGGGGCAGAGAACCAGAGAAGAGCACUUGGAGAUGAUUCAAAUGUCUAAAAAAGCUCGGAGUGGUUCAGUAGGCAUGUCUUUGUAUGUCAAUUCCCUAAAAACUGAAGGGAUUAGAAAAAGGCAGGUUGAUGAAGGUGGCAUUUAUAAGAAAGUCGCAGAGGAUCCUAGCCAAGCAGCAUUUGUAAAUAGUACAAGACAUGGCACUAGAAAUACAUCUGGAUCUCUAAAGGGCCGACUGGAGGAUAGGAGAAGGGUUUCGGCGUGAUAAAUGAGUUCAAGAAAAUUUGGGAUCUAUCUCAGACAGAAACACGAAAGAUGUUGAUACUUUAAGCAAAGAAGUGUUUAAGAAGCUUGAUGAGAGGAGUAGUCAGAAAGAACUUGCAAAUGAGCUAAAUUGUUCACAAGAAAAGGUUAAGGAGAAGUACGGCAAUAGAGUAGAUUGACAUGUAGUUUAUGGACAUAGACAACGGAGGAGCAGAAUGGAAGCAUUGAGACAGUACCAUUUCGGAGAAAGAAAGUCUUCUUUUAGGUGGUUGUUCAAAUGGCCUUCUGAUAUCCAUAAUUAGUAGUUAAUCUUGGGAUUCGGCUGGUAAUAAUGGUCGGAUAAAGAUUCUUAAUUUGGGCCAAGGUCAGAGAUCUCCGAAAACUAAUCUCAUCGUUAUAGGUAACUUUCUGAUCAGCUAAUGUUCUUUGCUAGGAUCAGCUCAGUAGUUACUUCUCUGGCAAAGAUGCCCUAUGCUCCUCAAUAAAGCUGUCUUACUGAUACAUGGAUUAUAAAAGUCGGCCAAAUCUGUAUGAUUUGCCUCAAACUUUUCUUUACGUUUACAUAAGAUCUUCAUUAUGAA